GGAUCAAAUGUCACUAUGGGGACAAACAUGUGAUGCAAGUCACAAGCCUGAUCUCUGCCUGCGCAUUCCAGUUCCCUAACGGCUCCUUUGCCUGUGGGGCCCCCCAAGCCACCUGCAGAAUGCUCUACUUCCAGCCCAGUGAAAUUAGGUGGAACCAUGAACCCAUUAAAGCCACACACAUUACUCCUAGGCUAGCUCUCCAGUCUUCUUUUCUGCUGUUACAUGAGCAUGAGAGGCUUCUGUUGUGAUAUGGAAGUGAUGGAGUCAGAAGAUCAGAUCAGCCUGGACCACCGUCUCGCCCGAGGGACGCUACUCUGGAAGGGGAACUUGAUCUCCGCAGACACUGGAUAAGCAAGAAAUAGACUUUAUUGAGGCAAGCCACUGAGAUUUGUAGAAUAAUGAAGCUUCUUAUUACCAAAGAGUUCCAUCAAGUACCAUGCAGGAAGCACACUUGGGUUGGCUCUUUAGUUUCAGAAUCAUUUUGCUGGCAGCUAAGACCUCAAACUUCAAGGAUCCUGACUGAUCAGGGAUGUGCUGCCUAUUUCAUUGGCAGCAAGGUGGAUUCGGGCCAAGGGUUCAUCCUCAGAAGCACCCAGAGCUUUGGUGUAGAGUGAGCACCCCACACUGCUCCAGGGCACCCUGCACUGCAUUUGGAUGACACUGCUGCCCUCUCAAUGUGUCUUCCCAACCUGCAGCACAUAAUUUUGAUAGAAGUAAAUUUUAUUGAAAGCACUUCCAAAGGUCACUCAAAUGAAACUAUGAGGAAUAUGAGGAACAAGAUGUAGAAUUAAGAUGAAGAACACUAUUUGCGGGGUUGUUAUUUUUAAAAGUUUAAAUUGUGUUAAAAAAUAAAUUUUCUUGUAUAAUUCAUAACCUGU
rnacentral:lncRNA from 1 species